rnacentral:rRNA from 1 species
GAUUAAGUUAUUAAGGGCGCACGGUGGAUGCCUUGGCACUAGAAGCCGAUGAAGGACGUUACUAACGACGAUAUGCUUUGGGGAGCUGUAAGUAAGCUUUAAUCCAGAGAUUUCCGA